UACGUAGGGGGCAAGCGUUGUCCGGAAUCAUUGGGCGUAAAGCGCGUGUAGGCGGCUCGAUAAGUCUGCUGUGAAAGUCCAGGGCUCAACCCUGGGAUGCCGGUGGAUACUGUCGAGCUCGAGUCCGGAAGAGGCGAGUGGAAUUCCUGGUGUAGCGGUGGAAUGCGCAGAUAUCAGGAGGAACACCGAUGGCGAAGGCAGAUCUCUGGGCCUUACCUGACGCUCAGGCGCGAAAGCUAGGGGAGCGAACAGG
rnacentral:rRNA from 1 species